rnacentral:rRNA from 1 species
UACGUAGGGUGCGAGCGUUGUCCGGAAUUAUUGGGCGUAAAGGGCUCGUAGGCGGUUUGUCGCGUCGGGAGUGAAAACCAGGUGCUUAACACCUGGCUUGCUUUCGAUACGGGCAGACUAGAGGCAUGCAGGGGAGAACGGAAUUCCUGGUGUAGCGGUGAAAUGCGCAGAUAUCAGGAGGAACACCGGUGGCGAAGGCGGCGACCUGGUCCGAUACUGACGCUGAGGCGCGAAAGCGUGGGGAGCAAACAGG